GCUGGAGUCAAACAGGUUAAUGAGCUCCGCUCCAGAGUCCAAACCACAGGCCAGAGAUCACAGAGCUAACAAGUAUCCAAGCAGAGGAGGGAACACAGGUGUGUCUGGUCCCAGUGCUCGGUCUCCCUCCUUCCCUGGAGGCAGAGAGCCUUCUAGCUUGGCAGCCACACCGGGGGCAGAGCGGAGAUUGGGUGAAGGUUGAGUCCUGAAGAAGGAGUCAGUCCUCCUCCUGGCGAGCCGUCAACCGCAGGAUUACAAAAAACAUUGAUUAAUGAGCUCAGAGACCUCCUGCCUGCCCCGGAGUGUACAAGGUUAAGAAGUGGUGGAGCUGGAUUCUAAGCCCAGUCCGUCUGCCUGCCAAAUCCUCAUCUCAGUAGAAAGGCCUGGUGGAGAGCAGUUGUCAGAGGAGCUGGGUCCUAAGUCCAACCUUUUCAUUGACCAGG